CCUACGGGUGGCAGCAGUGAGGAAUAUUGGUCAAUGGGCUUACGCCUGAACCAGCCAAGUCGCGUGAGGGAAGACUGCCCUAUGGGUUGUAAACCUCUUUUGUCAGGGAGCAACGCCGGCUACGUGUAGCCGGACUGAGAGUACCUGAAGGAAAAGCAUCGGCUAACUCCGUGCCAGCAGCCGCGGUAAUACGGAGGAUGCGAGCGUUAUCCGGAUUUAUUGGGUUUAAGGGGUGCGUAGGCGGAAUGCCAAGUCAGCGGUAAAAUCGCGGGGCUCAACCUCGCUCUGCCGUUGAAACUGGCGUGCUUGAGUGGGCGAGAAGUAUGCGGAAUGCGUGGUGUAGCGGUGAAAUGCAUAGAGAUCACGCAGAACUCCGAUUGCGAAGGCAGCAUACCGGCGCCCAACUGACGCUGAAGCACGAAAGCGUGGGUAUCGAACAGGAUUAGAUACCCCAGUAGUC
rnacentral:rRNA from 1 species